rnacentral:rRNA from 1 species
AUUGAACGCUGGCGGCAUGCCUUACACAUGCAAGUCGAACGGCAGCACGGGAGCAAUCCUGGUGGCGAGUGGCGAACGGGUGAGUAAUAUAUCGGAACGUGCCCAGUCGUGGGGAUAACGUAGCGAAAGCUACGCUAAUACCGCAUACGAUCUAUGGAUGAAAGCGGGGGAUCGCAAGACCUCGCGCGAUUGGAGCGGCCGAUAUCAGAUUAGGUAGUUGGUGAGGUAAAGGCUCACCAAGCCGACGAUCUGUAGCUGGUCUGAGAGGACGACCAGCCACACUGGGACUGAGACACGGCCCAGACUCCUACGGGAGGCAGCAGUGGGGAAUUUUGGACAAUGGCGCAAGCCUGAUCCAGCAAUGCGCGUGCAGGAUGAA